GUUUCCGUGCCGUAGCUAACGCAUUAAGUGCCCCGCCUGGGGAGUACGGCCGCAAGGUUAAAACUCAAAUGAAUUGACGGGGGCCCGCACAAGCGGUGGAGCAUGUGGUUUAAUUCGAAGCAACGCGAAGAACCUUACCAAAUCUUGACAUCCUUUGACCGCUCUAGAGAUAGAGUCUUCCCCUUCGGGGGACAAAGUGACAGGUGGUGCAUGGUUGUCGUCAGCUCGUGUCGUGAGAUGUUGGGUUAAGUCCCGCAACGAGCGCAACCCUUAAGCUUAGUUGCCAUCAUUAAGUUGGGCACUCUAGGUUGACUGCCGGUGACAAACCGGAGGAAGGUGGGGAUGACGUCAAAUCAUCAUGCCCCUUAUGAUUUGGGC
rnacentral:rRNA from 1 species